AGCUUAUCAAGAGAGGCGGAGGGACUAGGCCCUGUGAAACCUCGGCAGCGGACUCCUUUACAGGAGUACUGUGCCAAUUCCAGCAAGCGUAUGCUUGAAAGAUAAGAA
rnacentral:ncRNA from 2 species